rnacentral:rRNA from 1 species
UUUGCUACCCGCGCGCCUAAUAUUUGCAAGUCGACCGGACAGAUGGGAGCUUGCUCCCUGAUGUUAGCGGCGGACGGGUGAGUAACACGUGGGUAACCUGCCUGUAAGACUGGGAUAACUCCGGGAAACCGGGGCUAAUACCGGAUGCUUGUUUGAACCGCAUGGUUCAAACAUAAAAGGUGGCUUCGGCUACCACUUACAGAUGGACCCGCGGCGCAUUAGCUAGUUGGUGAGGUAACGGCUCACCAAGGCGACGAUGCGUACCCGACCUGAGAGGGUGAUUUUUCACACUGGGACUGAGACACGGCCCAAACUCCUACGGGAGGCAGCAGUAGGGAAUCUUCCGCAAUGGACGAAAGUCUGACGGAGCAACGCCGCGUGAGUGAUGAAGGUUUUCGGAUCGUAAAGCUCUGUUGUUAGGGAAAAACAAGUGCCGUUCAAAUAGGGCGGCACCUUGACGGUACCUAACCAGAAAGCCACGGUUAACUACGUGCCAGCAGCCGCGGUAAUACGUAGGUGGCAAGCGUUGUCCGGAAUUAUUGGGCGUAAGGGGCUCGCAG